rnacentral:lncRNA from 1 species
CGGGGAAAUUUGAACUGCCACUGGAAAAAGAGGGUAUAAUGGAUAGGGACAGAAAUUUUGCCUUGCAACAGGCCACCUACGGGCCCUCAAAGAGUUGUUGCAAGGGUUCUUAACGUACAAAGAGUGUGGCACUCUCAUUACACGAGACAUCGGAUUUAACGUCCCCAUUCUGACCGGACGUGACUGCGAACUUAAUACAUCCCGCACAGCCAAACGGACGCCCCACUUCGGCAAGCGUUUUACUGCCGGUCGGGAGAAGACCAAAUGACCAUAUUUCUAUUCCCCAGUCACCCUUG